rnacentral:rRNA from 1 species
UUCCUUGUCGGGUAAGUUCCGACCUGCACGAAUGGCGUAAUGAUGGCCAGGCUGUCUCCACCCGAGACUCAGUGAAAUUGAACUCGCUGUGAAGAUGCAGUGUACCCGCGGCAAGACGGAAAGACCCCGUGAACCUUUACUAUAGCUUGACACUGAACAUUGAGCCUUGAUGUGUAGGAUAGGUGGGAGGCUUUGAAGUGUGGACGCCAGUCUGCAUGGAGCCGACCUUGAAAUACCACCCUUUAAUGUUUGAUGUUCUAACGUUGACCCGUAAUCCGGGUUGCGGACAGUGUCUGGUGGGUAGUUUGACUGGGGCGGUCUCCUCCUAAAGAGUAACGGAGGAGCACGAAGGUUGGCUAAUCCUGGUCGGACAUCAGGAGGUUAGUGCAAUGGCAUAAGCCAGCUUGACUGCGAGCGUGACGGCGCGAGCAGGUGCGAAAGCAGGUCAUAGUGAUCCGGUGGUUCUGAAUGGAAGGGCCAUCGCUCAACGGAUAAAAGGUACUCCGGGGAUAACAGGCUGAUACCGCCCAAGAGUUCAUAUCGACGGCGGUGUUUGGCACCUCGAUGUCGGCUCAUCACAUCCUGGGGCUGAAGUAGGUCCCAAGGGUAUGGCUGUUCGCCAUUUAAAGUGGUACGCGAGCUGGGUUUAGAACGUCGUGAGACAGUUCGGUCCCUAUCUGCCGUGGGCGCUGGAGAACUGAGGGGGGCUGCUCCUAGUACGAGAGGACCGGAGUGGACGCAUCACUGGUGUUCGGGUUGUCAUGCCAAUGGCACUGCCCGGUAGCUAAAUGCGGAAGAGAUAAGUGCUGAAAGCAUCUAAGCACGAAACUUGCCCCGAGAUGAGUUCUCCCUGACUCCUUGAGAGUCCUGAAGGAACGUUGAAGACGACGACGUUGAUAGGCCGG